rnacentral:rRNA from 1 species
AGAGUUUGAUCCUGGCUCAGGACGAACGCUGGCGGCGUGCUUAAUGCAUGCAAGUCGAACGAAGAACCCGCUAUGGGUAACCACUGCGGAAUUCUUAGUGGCGAACGGGUGAGUAACACGUGAGAAACCUGCCCCGGAGACCGGAAUAGCCCAGGGAAACCUGGAUUAAUACCGGAUACCCUCCGACGAUCGCAUGAUCGACGGAGGAAAUGGUCCGCCGCUCCGGGAUGGUCUCGCGACCUAUCAGUUAGUUGGUGAGGUAAAGGCUCACCAAGACUACGACGGGUAGCUGGUCUGAGAGGACGAUCAGCCACACUGGGACUGAGACACGGCCCAGACUCCUACGGGAGGCAGCAGCAGGGAAUUUUGCACAAUGGGCGCAAGCCUGAUGCAGCGACGCCGCGUGGGGGAUGAAUGCCUUCGGGUUGUAAACCCCUUUCAGGAGGGACGAAGCGAAAGUGACGGUACCUCCAGAAGAAGCCCCGGCCAACUACGUGCCAGCAGCCGCGGUAAUACGUAGGGGGCGAGCGUUGUCCGGAUUUAUUGGGCGUAAA